rfam:Ceratocystis platani strain CFO contig_00039, whole genome shotgun sequence.
GCAACGUUGGUCUAGCGGUUAGGAUCUUCGCCUUCCAAGCGAAGGGUCCGGGUUCGACUCCCGGACGUUGCA